rnacentral:tRNA from 1 species
GCCCGGGUGGCGGAAUUGGCAGACGCGCAUGGCUCAGGACCAUGUGACCGCAAGGUCUUGGAGGUUCAAAUCCUCUCCCGGGCA